GUCAGUGUCAUCAAUUAAGCAUUCUUUGUCUAUCCUAUCUCACAGAUUUCAUCUAGAGUUUGACAUCCACAAGGCAUACAAAGAGGAUAGCUAGAUCGCAGGAGGAUUUCCUCAAGUCUCCUCAAUAUGGAGGAAAUGAUUUGCAACCUAAGGAGAGGGAAGCUCAAUGACUUUGCUACAGCAUCUUUCCCAGUGUAAGGAGGCCUUCUGGUGGUCAAAACAGUGAAUACUUCUUCCAGAGAGCAUUACUCAUCCAAAUGCAAUAGAAGAGCAACUCCAUGCUCCCAGCUUUAUUCACAAUUCCAUGUGAAAACCACCCUUUCAAGCGUGCAUUUCCCACUGGAGGGAGAAGAGGGGAAAGGCAACACAGAGGAGGAGCAACACACUGAAGAUGGGGCCUGCAUGUCAACAGUUGAAAAGAAAAUGCAGUUUUACUUCUGCAAAGUGUCUGAAAAUCAGCAAGAUCUCUUGGGCUGAGGUGGUGAGAGACGUGGAGUAAGUUUUACAGAAGCUUCAGAGACCUGGUGCAAUUUCUCUUUACUGGUUGAACUGCUAAGGAGACUGCCCAGAAAGCAGUGCAUACAAACUCAUUCCCUUCUUCCAGAAGGCAAUUCAACUCCCUCAGAACACCUCCAUGAACUGCUAUGUUUGAUGGCUGAUAAUUCUAAGCAUUUAUCAUUUUAGCUGUUUCACUUUGCCCGGAUUCUUUAAA
rnacentral:lncRNA from 1 species